AAGACUGUAUUUUCAGAGAUCAUUUCUAUAGCUCUUUACUUGGAAAUGUGUUUUGAAAUUGUUUGUCUCCCAACCCGCGAUGAUGAGCUGUGAUGCUCCUUUCUGAGAAUGAAUUAAAAACUGAGCUGUGACUUUGGUUGCAAACUCUGUUAUUGAUGAGUGUUGUCUAUUGCUUUUGGCAAUGUUGAUGAAAGGGGUCUGAUCUGAGUGGU
rnacentral:snoRNA from 1 species